AAUAGCCAGCACAUCGAAGUUUUAGAAACUUCUUGAGAAUUUCAUCAGCACCACGUCGCUGUCAUCAAACGAUUUCACAAUUCCAAGAAAUACUGCGCAGCGCGACUGUUACUAAGCACAGGAGCGCAAUGGCAGCCAAGCAGUCUCUUUUCUAACCGCAAAGAUUUCACCACUAAUCAAACGAUCUCCAUGCGAUUUGUCACGCCUCCGGAGGCUCGCUGUUGCCGAGUCGAAUUUUCUUAGACACUCGGACGUUUUACGAAGGCGCUUUUAAGAGAGUUGUAUACCAUUUAUUGGCACACGUGUUGCGUUUCUCCGCUGCCAUUUGCAGUUAACGUAUGCGCUAUUAGUCACAUGUGCUCGCGAUUCAGUUGACAAUACGUAACAGACUUCAAGGUUUGUACUACUGCUGCUUACUCAUCGCCCAAGGUGCUGGCUUGCUCAUUAACCUUUUCGAACUCUUAAUACACCAAUUAAGUAAAUACACAUGUACGAGCACAUAUUUGCUAACUAGCACAUGUAAAUAGAAGAAAUUCGCAAAUAUUCCCGAGACUGGACAAAUAGAAACAUGCGUGCAGCUGAACAAAUAUCUUUUUUCGACUGCCUGACCACACUCAAUACACCGCUACUACCCUAUUGACACAAGCCACUUGCUGCUUGUUUUUUCUUGCUGCUACUGCUGCUGUUGUUGCGCGCCCUCCUUUUCAAUUACUCUUACUCCAAUUUAAGUAAAUAAGCGAUUCUAUUUUUGUCUUGCACAAAAUUAAACUUUCGAGCGGAGCAGAGAGCAAAGCAAAAGCGCUGGUCACAACUGUUCGACGGUUUAAUUAAAUGUGUGCAACAACAACAAAAACGAGCGAGAAAAAACUACAAAAAUAAAUGUUGAAAAUAUUGGAAAAUUGCGAAAAACAACGGGCAAAAAGAAGAAUAUUAACGAACAGUUGCAAAAAAAAGCGCAGAAAAAGCAGCAAAAGCAGAAGAAACGCCACUUUGGAGCACGUUUUAAAAUUGUCACAUCAAUUUGACUCCAAGUGCGUCUGCAUGUGGCAGGCAACAACAUACAACUACACAUGUGGAGCUGAAUGUGCGCUGCUUUGGUGUGUGCUUACCGAACUGCGGACAUACACUCAUAUAUACAGAUGUAUAUAUGUAUUUGCAAGUAUAUAUGUAUAUAUGAGAGAGUGUGUGUGUAGGAGCAUGUGUACCAAGAGACAUUCGAGUGAGUGCUGAAUCGCAUGCAACAUGUUGCAGAGAUACAUGUUCUCAACAAGAACCAAACAAUCAAUAAAUCAAUCGAGCAUCGUUGAAGAGAACGGAAUAAAACGUUGCAUAAAUACUGCCUUUGAGAACCAGUAUUGCUCGUCUAAAUAUUGACGACAUCGGACUAUAAUUUUUCAAGUACCCAGAUAUUGAAGACCUCAGGAUCCGUGACUAAUUUUAUACCGAAAAUAUAGGCAAGUCUCUCACAAGUUUUUAGAAGUUCAGAGGAAUCUUUUUCCUUUCAAAAUGUGCCUCACUACCAAAAAUGGUUAAAAUCGAGUCAUUAGUACACCUAGCUCCCAUAUACCAAAUAUUACGAUUUUCGAACUUCCAACGAACUUU